UACGAACUGUGCAAACGUUAUUCGGAUUCACUGGGCUUAAAGGGUGCGUAGGCGGCCAUGUAAGUAGGGUGUGAAAUCCCCCGGCUUAACCGGGGAACUGCGCCCUAAACUGUGUGGCUUGAGUGAGAUAGGGGUGUGUGGAACUUCCGGUGGAGCGGUGAAAUGUGUUGAUAUCGGAAGGAACGCCGGUGGCGAAAGCGACACACUGGGUCUCAACUGACGCUGAGGCACGAAAGCGUGGGGAGCAAACAGG
rnacentral:rRNA from 1 species